AUUCAAUUUUCAUUUUAUUUUUUUUCGUAUUCCUAUUUUACCCUCAAACUUUUUUCCUCUCACGACUCUCUUUACAUGCAGGCCCCUUCCCAGCCGUUUCCUCACUCUCAAGUUCCAGUCUCCAAGCCAUCAAGCCAACCCAGUCGUCGCUCGUCUGUCGUUCCUCACGCACUUCCUACCGUCGCUCGUCCGUCGAUUGCCAACCACGUCGCUCACCGGUGACCGAUUGCCGUUGUUGGAUCGAAGAAGAGAGCUCGUUGAAUUAAUUGCUGGAAUCGAGAAACAUCUUUAGUGGAUUUUGAAUGCAAGUUUAAGAAGUCAUUCUUUUAAAAACCUGGUGAUGAGAAAAUACAAUAGACCAUCAAAAUUCAACAAUUUGCAAAGAAGAUUAUGAACAAUUUUUUCCAAGUUUAUUAUUAAACUUGCAGAGAAGAAAUUAUUAAGAAAUUUUCAACUUCUAUAGAUUUGUUCCCGUCCUUUAUCUAGGACCAAUGACUAUUAAAAAUUGAUGUAACAUUGAUAAAUCAGGUUGUGAGUUAAUAGAAAUUGAAGUUGAAAUUGUA